UACAGAGGGUGCGAGCGUUAAUCGGAAUUACUGGGCGUAAAGCGUGCGUAGACGGUUAUUUAAGUCGGGUGUGAAAGCCCCGGGCUCAACCUGGGAAUGGCAUUCGAGACUGAAUAGCUAGGGUACGGUAGAGGGAAGCGGAAUUUCCGGUGUAGCGGUGAAAUGCGUAGAUAUCGGAAAGAACAUCAGUGGCGAAAGCGGCUUCCUGGACCAGUACCGACGUUCAGGCACGAAAGCGUGGGGAGCAAACAGG
rnacentral:rRNA from 1 species